rnacentral:rRNA from 1 species
UACGUAGGGUCCGAGCGUUGUCCGGAAUUACUGGGCGUAAAGAGCUCGUAGGUGGUUUGUCGCGUUGUUCGUGAAAACUCACAGCUCAACUGUGGGCGUGCGGGCGAUACGGGCAGACUGGAGUACUGCAGGGGAGACUGGAAUUCCUGGUGUAGCGGUGGAAUGCGCAGAUAUCUGGAGGAACACCGGUGGCGAAGGCGGCGUCCUGGACCAACACUGACACUGAGAAGCGAAAGCAUGGGGAGCGAACAGG